rnacentral:rRNA from 1 species
GAUGAACGCUGGCGGCGUGCCUAAUACAUGCAAGUCGAGCGAAUGGAUUAAGAGCUUGCUCUUAUGAGGUUAGCGGCGGACGGGUGAGUAACACGUGGGUAACCUGCCCAUAAGACUGGGAUAACUCCGGGAAACCGGGGCUAAUACCGGAUAACAUUUUGAACCGCAUGGUUCGAAAUUGAAAGGCGGCUUCGGCUGUCACUUAUGGAUGGACCCGCGUCGCAUUAGCUAGUUGGUGAGGUAACGGCUCACCAAGGCAACGAUGCGUAGCCGACCUGAGAGGGUGAUCGGCCACACUGGGACUGAGACACGGCCCAGACUCCUACGGGAGGGAGCAGUAGGGAAUCUUCCGCAAUGGACGAAAGUCUGACGGAGCAACGCCGCGUGAGUGAUGAAGGCUUUCGGGUCGUAAAACUCUGUUGUUAGGGAAGAGCAAGUGCUAGUUGAAUAAGCUGGCACCUUGACGGUACCUAACCAGAAAGCCACGGCUAACUACGUGCCAGCAGCCGCGGUAA